rnacentral:rRNA from 1 species
GACGAACGCUGGCGGCGUGCUUAACACAUGCAAGUCGAACGGUGAAGCAGGAGCUUGCUCCUGUGGAUCAGUGGCGAACGGGUGAGUAACACGUGAGCAAUCUGCCCUGGACUCUGGGAUAAGCGUUGGAAACGACGUCUAAUACCGGAUACGAGGCGUGGGGGCAUCCCCAACGCCUGGAAAGAACUUCGGUCCAGGAUGAGCUCGCGGCCUAUCAGGUAGUUGGUGAGGUAACGGCUCACCAAGCCUACGACGGGUAGCCGGCCUGAGAGGGUGACCGGCCACGCUGGGACUGAGACACGGCCCAGACUCCUACGGGAGGCAGCAGUGGGGAAUAUUGCACAAUGGGCGCAAGCCUGAUGCAGCAACGCCGCGUGAGGGACGACGGCCUUCGGGUUGUAAACCUCUUUUAGCAGGGAAGAAGCGAAAGUGACGGUACCUGCAGAAAAAGCACCGGCUAACUACGUGCCAGCAGCCGCCGUAACAC